rnacentral:rRNA from 1 species
AGAGUUUGAUCAUGGCUCAGAACGAACGCUGGCGGCAUGCCUAACACAUGCAAGUCGAACGAGACCUUCGGGUCUAGUGGCGCACGGGUGCGUAACGCGUGGGGAUCUGCCCUUUGCUUCGGAAUAACAGUUAGAAAUGACUGCUAAUACCGGAUGAUGACUUCGGUCCAAAGAUUUAUCGGCAAAGGAUGAACCCGCGUAGGAUUAGCUAGUUGGUGGGGUAAAGGCCUACCAAGGCGACGAUCCUUAGCUGGUCUGAGAGGAUGAUCAGCCACACUGGGACUGAGACACGGCCCAGACUCCUACGGGAGGCAGCAGUGGGGAAUAUUGGACAAUGGGCGAAAGCCUGAUCCAGCAAUGCCGCGUGAGUGAUGAAGGCCUUAGGGUUGUAAAGCUCUUUACCCGGGAUGAUAAUGACAGUACCGGGAGAAUAAGCUCCGGCUAACUCCGUG